UGAACGUUUUUAGAAGUAAUUAUAAUAUAGUAAGGAAACUUAUAUUUUUUCUAUCUUUUAAAAAGCCAUAAGUGCAGCGUCUCGCCUUCUAUAAAACAAGUUCUCAUUUUUAAGCAUCUUAUAUCAAUUGUUGUAACCAUUGCAACCUUUCUUUUUAAGCUUAGAACGAUUACAGUUUUACUAAAAUUUACAUUUUCAGUGGUUACGUAUUGAAAUGAUCAUUUGCACGUUUCCUUGCAGGAUUCUGAGAAGUAUUGGCCUGAGAAAGGUGAAUCUGUUACAUUUGGUAACAUAGAAAUCACCCAAGAUGGUGACGAAAAGAAGAACCAUCACCAACUUGUAACACUGUCAGCAACGAAGCAUAAAGUGACCCGUAAGAUCAAACAAAUUCGGUGUGGGGGAUGGUCCUACAAUCACAGUUUACCAGACUCCCCAAGUGUUAUACUGACACUGUUAGAAAUUGUUAAAGUAUGGCAGCGACUGUCUGGCCAUCAUACCAUUGUUGUGCAUUGCAUGAAUGGUGUAGACAAAAGUGGUUUGUACUGUGUGAUAUCAGCAGUUAUAGAACACUUACAGAUCGAGCAGGACGUGGCAAUAUCACAGGUCAUUCAAGAAAUGAAGAACGCUAGAAAACAAAUUUUACCCUCUGUGGAACAAUACAAGUUUUGCCAUGAGACUGUCCUUGAAUUUAUACAUCAGUUUGAUAGAUAUUCAAACUUAACUGAGUGUCAAUGAAAUGGUGAUUGAACACUGACAAACACUUGACAAGAAAUUUUGAAUUCAAAUACAUUUUUGAAUGAUUUAAUA